GAAUUUCGUUUCUUAAUAUCAAAACUUGACACCUACAGCUAUAUUUCCACACUAAAAUGGUUUCACCGCCGCUGAUUUAUCUAUCCAAUUGAGGCUAAAUGUAAAGUACACGGUUAUUUGAGUCCAAGGGCAUUGUAUGGUAUUUACUUGAGACUGUUUUAGCAGAAGUAAGGCUCCAUUCCGAUCCUGUCCCUGAUUCCAUAUCGGGUUUGGAUAUAACCAGCAUACAACCCUUUUUCCAGGCACAGAAAAUAGCAUUUCAAGUUACAGCCGGUUAAAGCGAGCUUGCAGGAAGGGGGUGUGUUAAAAAAUUGGCGGAGCUGUACCUCUCUUUCACUCUGUCCUAUUCUACGACCAGUCUUUGCCAUUGUUCCAGAGAACCAAACCUCAAUAGAUCUUCUGAGUCUACAGACACAGUGUUACUCCCAACCAUGUUACCCAAGACUCGUCUGGGGAAGCGUUCCCCCCUAGGGGCAUUGCUGUGUACCUCCUGCCCCUCCAUGGAGAGCACACUGGAGACAGGGGCCCACGGGGACCCAGAGGGGGGUGUGGGGAGCCCAACUAUGGGACCACCAGGGCCCCAGCAUCUCAGCAGGUUCAACUACAAACUACACCCUGGACAGAAGGUGUAUGUGUUGUGUGGAGGGCGUGAGUGCACAGGGGUGGUGGAGCAACACAACCAUGUGGAUAAUGAGGUGGCCAUCCUGCUGCCUGCUCUGGGACAGCAUGUCCUCAGGAAACUACAGGACGUCUGGACCUCCCCCACUGCCCCUCCUCAGCCUCCUGCUGCAACACAGAGCACAAGCAAACCAUACCAAGUGUCCUCCUGCAUCGAUGUGCCCAAUGUGCCCAGGAGGAGUCCAGAGUCAGUGGAUAUGGAUGAGAUGAUGGCAGCCCUGGUUCUGACCAGCCUGUCCUGCAGCCCUGUUGUUCAGAGCCCACCUCACAGAGACACAGUCAUAGCAGGUUCUACUGGCAUGGAGUGCGGAGCGGGGGAACUCUCAGACAGCGGCAGCAGUGGCUACUGGAGCUGUGACCGUGGCUACAGAAGCCCGGCCCCAUCUCCGCCAACCACAGAGACAGAAGGUCACAGCCUGGCCACGCCCACUGAUGAGGGAUUGGACAUGGAGCUGGAGCAGGUGCUGUUUGACGAGCCUGCGCCACGGAAACGCAGGAACUCAGUGAAGUUGGCCUACAGGUGUCUGUGGCCCAACUGUGGGAAGGUUCUGACAUCUGUCGUGGGGAUGAAACGUCACAUCCGUACCCUGCACCUGGGCCAGAGUGUUGAGCAUGAGCGUUGCUCCCGCAGCGAGGAGGACUUCUACUACACAGAGAUCCACCAGCGGGAGCUGCAGCCCCUCACCCCACCUCCUGAGGUCUCCACCCACACCCCUAUCCCUACCACUAGCACCAGCACCCCCUGGUUGGCCUGUGCCUCCCCCUCCAGCCCCUCUCCCUCUGGGGUAGGACCAGGAGAACCAGGGGUAGGAGCAGGAGCUGGAGGAGACUCCCCAACAGAAGUGAACCCCCAGCCCAGCCAGCUCAGCCAGUCUGCCCCCUCCAUCCCAGGGUGCUUCGGGCAGGUUCACUCUGAGCACUCCUACCAGGCUGCUGCUUCAGUCCAGGUGGUGGCAUCACCCGUCUCUGUUUCCUCCACCUGCCGUUGGACCAAACCCACCUCCACCCCUCAACCAAGUCAGGGCGCACCAUUCCUUGUGCGGUCAGUCAGUGUGGGAGAACAGUGGCUGCAGCAGCAGAAUGCCCCAAUUAGGCCACACCCUGCCAGCACCUCUCCCCCACGCAGCCACUGGACCACAAGGAGGAUCCGUGGCGAGGCUAAGAAGUGUCGUAAGGUCUAUGGCAUCGAGCACCGGGAUCAGUGGUGCACCGCCUGUCGCUGGAAGAAAGCCUGCCAGCGCUUCCUCGACUGAACUCCUAACCGAAGAAGAGAGGGACGAAGAGAGAAAAAAGAGAUAUGGAGGAGAGAAAGAAAGUGAGAGACUGCCAGAAGAGAGGAGCAGUCACCUCUUCAAGUGAAGACUGAGGAAAGAUCUGGGGGUCAACCAGUGGAGCAACAUUGCGCUGAUUGGCUGGGAGAAUCCCCCUUGACCUAUAGGAUUCCAUCUGCUCAUGAUCUACUAAUCAACAGUAACCAGUAAGUUGUGUCUUAAACAUUGAGAAUUGAUUGGAGAGUUGUAAUUGGAGAAGUAAAAUGCAGAUUUGGGAGUCAUAUGCCCCAUGCCCAACGAUGAUGUGUUUAUAAGCCAUUUAUUCCUGCAAAUUCAUAUGUAGCUUUUUUUAUUGUAAUUGGCUUUUUUAAGGAAACAAAAAUAAUGUUUUGUCGACGUCGACUAUGUAAUUUGUAUUGUGUGUUUCGUUAUAUUAUCCAGCAAUGUUGUGUCUAUAUUUUGCAACUUGUCGUUUUUUCUAAGAUGUGUUAAAUACAAUGUUCCUCCAAGAAUUACCAUGUUGUGGGAUAUAGGAAUCAAUUCACAUACUUUAGACCAGUCAGAUGUCAUACGCACUGAUUUUCACUUCUCUGACUAUGGUGCAAGCAACUGUUAAAAGUUAAAGACUCAGUAUCUCGUCCUUGUUGUUAGCAGCUACUGUAGCUAUCCUUCCUGUUUUGCCUUAGUCUUCUUUGUUUCGGGUCAACAGAUAAUCUGUAAGAGCAGCCAUUUUGUAAGAGCAGAGUCUUUUUUGGGGGGGUUACACCAGAAAUGGUCUAUAAUAUAGCCUUGUAACAGGCUUUAGUUACACUAACAGAUAUCAUUUUAAGCACUGUAGUUUAUUGUUAAAGAGACACUAUGACAGAAUAGGGCAUGGAAGUAUUGGGUCCUUUUACAACAUGGAGGUCAUUGGCAGGUUGUGUCUUACAUAAUUUUAAUAAAAUUAUACAUUUGUAUAAUAUAUUUGGACAGGAAUCUAUCUCCGUACAUUUGUCAUAUACUUGGAUGGCCAAUAACCCGUACCGCUCUCAGUAGUGGCGAUACACUAAUUUAAUAAAAUUAUCGAGGUUCCUGGUUAGAUGUGGAAUGUACCACAUGGUACCAAUAAUAAUAUCUUAAAUAUGGUGCCAGCAUUGAGUCUGAAUGCAUUUACCAGACUAAGUUAGGCUUAUCUUAAAAUGGUAUGCUGCUCGAGGGCAUUGUGGCCCUAACCCAAACCCUUGUCACUCUACCACCUAUUGUAAAUUAACAUGCAUACAUCUCUGUUGACAAAGUGUUUAAUGAACGUUCGGCAUAAACAGAUGUUUCAUAUGUUAAGACCCAAAAUAUAUUCAUGAUUUUCUAUUGAAACUCAUGUUUCCUUGCAGUAAGCCAAUGAAUCCACAGAAGCAAAAAAACAAAACAAUUGUAUUUAUAUAUAUUGUCCUAUGUAUGUACUUAGAGAAAAAACAACCAUUGAAUAAAGUAUAAUUUGUAUUAUGAUGCACUCAUUUUAUAUGGAAUCUGAAAUGUUUUUGUCUUUUUGAUGUUGAAAUAUGUUGAAAUAUACUUGAUAAAGAUGUAUCCUGUCGAAAGUAGUCUUCUAUUUUGUAGUCUUAAAAAAAUCUUGUCCCGGGCCUUUUAAGUAAGAUGUAAAGUUAUAUUUAAAUAUGCUCCAAAAUAUGUGACGGAAACUACUCUAGGCUUUCCAUUUUGGCUUAUGAGCCUGUAUCUAUACAGGAGAUUUUAUUCAAGAGAACAUGAUGAUGAUAAUGAUUAUUAUUAUACAAGACAAUAUUGGUCUGGAAAUGUUCUGUGUAAUAAAUGGAGUGUUGUGGGAUUGA